ensembl:lincRNA
CUAGAAUCCUGUUUGAUCUUAGCAUCACACCAACUAGCUGUGUGAGUCUGAGAAACUUAGUGCGCCUCUCUAGUCUUCCAUUUAACCACCUAUGAAAGGGGGAGACGGUGCUACCCAUGUCUGUCUACCUGACAGGGUCUCUGUGAGGCAAACCACAGCCCACGGCAGGAAAGGCGUGGCAGAUCACUGAGUCUAAUGCCUUCAAAUAUUUAUUUUAGCAGAUGAAUCUUUUAGUUAGUUUUUUUCUUUUUUUAAUUCAGAACCCCAGUUUAUAAGACAGAGCUGCUCGGGCUGUGUUGAAGAGCAGGGCUGGCCUUUAGGCUUCCUCCUUCCUGGUGAAACAUUGUUUGAAGAACACCUGCCUCAUUUUAAAGGUGAGGAAACUGAAGCCCAGAGAAGGCCCUUGAUCAAGGUCACAGAACCCCAAGUCUGGAAGGCUCUUAGCUCCCUGGGCGGGAGAAGAAUCUCCACUUUCGUGGUGCAGCCUGAGGGGCCCAUCCACCACCUGAGGCCCCUGAGAGCUUCCGCGGUUACCAGGCAACCAGCACCGUUGCCCAGCGCUCCCAUCAGCACCUCACAGCUAUUCUCGCGGCCAAAACUGGUGCAGAAAAUGCUGCCCGGCUGGCAGGGAAAGAAAAGCUGAGGCAGAAAAUUCUGAAAGCCCAUUAAGAGACUGAAACCAAGAAACACAGCCUCAUCGACUAGAGACUCAGGACGGGCUUAAGAAACACAACAUCAGGACUCUCCAGGGAAAUGGGUAAGCUGGAGCCAAAGGCAUUAGCACUGAAUUAAGAGGAGCUGGAGCUAAUGAGAAGGGAGCAGGAUGUGGAGGAGCCUGGGGAGGGAAGGUGACUAGGGAUCAAAUGCCGGACUGAAAGGAGGGAGGCAGGAGGCCAGGUCCCCUCAGCCACCAUCAUUGGCAUGCUAAGCAUGGCCUCCUUCUCUAGUGGGAGGAGCAGGAGCAGCUGCCAGGGGAGCCUCGAGUGGGGAAGUGAAGUGAGGACCUGCGAACGGCCCCUGGGGUCACUCUGGGGACUUCCGAGCUCUGGCCAGGACCCAAGCAGCCCGUGGCCAGGGACAGAGCCAGCCAGACACUAGGGUUCUAGCCGCCAGCAGGCGGGUAGUUUGCUUCUUUUCUUCUCCAUUCCUGUUGGUCCAGGUGUGAGCUGCUGCGUUUCCUCCUUGAGGGGAGGGGACAGCUGCAGCUGGUCUCUGAAUGCAGGGAACAAGUCCUCGUUCCCUGGUAACUGAGUCGCAGGAGGACCCUGCACCCAGGGACAGGACAACGGUGGGGGGCAUCUUGUCAGGAUCCCCAGACUUGCCCCGCAGGAACUGCUACCUGUUGCAGCCCAGAGUAUGUCACACUUUAGUAUGGCAUGCCUCUUUAGUGAACAAGUAGUAAUUUCCACAACUAGUUACUCCCCAGCUGGGCUAUAGCACAGCUCAGGCGCAACUUAGGAAGGGCCCCCUUCCAGCCAACUUGUCCUGCAGGCCGGCUCAGUUCCAGGCCCAGAGAGUGUGCCGGGCAAUUCCAGGCUCUCACAAACUUAGCCAGGGCCACGGACAAUCACCCUGUUCUGUAAUACAUGAUCCCAUUCCCCCAACUCCUCACUGCAGCUUUUGACGCACCACAGAUGAAAUCCCUCUUGGGGAGAGUUGGAGGGUCUCAUAAACACAUACACAGAGGGCCUGGGGCUCUGAGCUGAGUAUCCAGCCCCUGCCCCCACCACCCAGGCCCUCACCCCAAGCAGGUGCUCCCUGAAACUAACAAGGACAGCAACAACGAUUGGGUAGGAGCGAGUGAGUUAUGGAGCUGAUGCCUCGUAAACAAGUCUGGUGCCCGCCUGUCUUCAUGAAUCACCACUGAGCCUAAUCCUUCAUUAGAACAUUCAGCAGUAAUUGCUGGCGAAAUGCCACUUGCCUUUUUCUCAUUUUAACAAAACAUUUAUGCAUGAAAGAUUUAAUGCCAGGUAUCAAGCAUAUCAUUGUAAAUUUACCACUAAUUAAGCCUAAUUAAAAUAAUUAA